UACGAGGGGGGCAAGUGUUGUUCGGAAUCACUGGGCGUAAAGGGAGCGUAGGCGGAUGCUUGUGUCGGAUGUUUAAAACCGGGGCCCAACCCCGGCGUGGCAUUCGAAACUGGGCAUCUUGAAUGGGACAGAGGCCGGUGGAAUUGGAGGUGUAGCGGUGGAAUGCGUAGAUAUCUCCAAGAACACCCGUUGCGAAGGCGGCCGGCUGGGUCCACAUUGACGCUGAGGCUCGAAAGCAUGGGGAGCAAACAGG
rnacentral:rRNA from 1 species